rnacentral:rRNA from 1 species
ACUCAAAGGAAUUGACGGGGACUUGCACAAGCGGUGGAUCAUGCGGCUUAAUUCGAUGAUAAACGAAGAACCUCACCAGGGCUAGAAAUCCAGACGACAGUCUUAGGAAACUAAGAUCUCCGCAAGGCGGCUGGACAGGUGAUGCAUGGUCGUCGUCAGUUCGUGGCUUGAGUUGUUCCCUUCAGUGGGGUAACGAACGCAACCCUCGUUGCCUGUUUUCAAUGUCAGGCGAGACUGCCCCCUCACGGGGGAGGAAGGUGAGGAUGACGCCAGAUCAGCAUGUCCCUUUGAUGUCCUGGGCUGCACGCAUGAUACAAUGGGCGCGACAACGCGACGCGACGGGGUAACCCUGAGCAAAUCGUAAUAAACGCGCCCCCAGUUCGGAUUGAGGUCUGCAACUCGACCUCAUGAAGCCGGAAUCGCUAGUAAUCGCGGGUCAGCUAUACCGCGGUGAAUACGUUCUCAAGUCUUGUACACACCGCCCGU